UACGAAGGGGGCUAGCGUUGCUCGGAAUCACUGGGCGUAAAGGGUGCGUAGGCGGGUUUUUAAGUCAGGGGUGAAAUCCUGGAGCUCAACUCCAGAACUGCCUUUGAUACUGAAGAUCUUGAGUUCGGGAGAGGUGAGUGGAACUGCGAGUGUAGAGGUGAAAUUCGUAGAUAUUCGCAAGAACACCAGUGGCGAAGGCGGCUCACUGGCCCGAUACUGACGCUGAGGCGCGAAGGCGUGGGGAGCAAACAGG
rnacentral:rRNA from 1 species